CCACUGUCUAUAUGGUGCAUUCACUCUAAUACUCUGAGAGCACAUCCAUUGGAGUGGUCCUACUAGCUAGCACGGUGCACUGGACACAAUGGACCAACACUCUAACUCAGGGGAAAGGGACACCUCAACGAAUUGUGUGACUCUGGUGUCACUCCAGUGUCUAGUACCGUUUCAGCUCAGGUGGCUUUGCUGCAUGUCGUCUUUGUGGUCAGAGCCAGUAAUGGACGCAAGCUAUAGCUCUGAAGAGACUGGCAGUCAACAAUGAUGCUGACGUCUACCUCAUCAAACAAGAGAUUGCUGUCACCAAGGCUCUGUCUGAUUGCUCGUAUUCUGUGACAUACAUUUCAUCCAUUACUAAGCAGAUAUCCAGUGAUGUACACGAGGUCCUCAUACUAAUGGAGUUAUAUACAUGCACCAGUGAAAUCUCUCUCAGUCCUCGAUCACCAAGAAUGCUGGUUUGCAGAAGAAGUCAGCGAAGGAGAUGAUGUGUUCCUCCUUGCCCUGUCCUUUGCCUCUGAUCGAGAGUUGAGGGACAAGAGCCUUUCCUUCGAGUGGAGCAAGAGAAGACCCAGAGUUAGAGGGACUGAAAAUGAAUUGGAAUUCAAGGCCUCGUCAAAGGAUCACUUCAAAGGCUUUACCUCCAGCUCUGAAACUGAGACUCUGACGUCAAUGGCCUGAAAUAUUCUCAGAUCCAGUUAAUUCCAGAAGCUCAGUUCCUUUGAAGUUUGAAGGGAUCAGGUGCCGGAUAUGCCACCUGACCCGUUUGAAGAAGAAGCUCAGUGUCUUGCUGGAAGAGGUGAGUUUCUUUGCUUGCUUGUAGCUUGCAUGUUUGCAGGAAUGUUAGGCUAGGAAGCCUUGUGGAGCAUUGUAGUUGUUUAU